rnacentral:rRNA from 1 species
ACGUAGGGAGCAAGCGUUAUCCGGAUUUACUGGGUGUAAAGGGCGCGCAGGCGGGCCGGCAAGUUGGAAGUGAAAUCUAUGGGCUUAACCCAUAAACUGCUUUCAAAACUGUUGGUCUUGAGUGAUGGAGAGGCAGGCGGAAUUCCGUGUGUAGCGGUGAAAUGCGUAGAUAUACGGAGGAACACCAGUGGCGAAGGCGGCCUGCUGGACAUUAACUGACGCUGAGGCGCGAAAGCGUGGGGAGCAAACAG